rnacentral:rRNA from 1 species
AGAAGGCAUCUUUUUGUUAUUAAAGAAUUUCGAUAACCGAUGGGGAUGCGUUCCAUUAGUUUGUUGGCGGGGUAACGGCCCACCAAGACAUCGAUGGAUAGGGGUUCUGAGAGGAAGGUCCCCCACAUUGGAACUGAGACACGGUCCAAACUCCUACGGGAGGCAGCAGUGAGGAAUAUUGGUCAAUGGACGAGAGUCUGAACCAGCCAAGUAGCGUGAAGGAUGACUGCCCUAUGGGUUGUAAACUUCUUUUAUAUGGGAAUAAAGUGAGCCACGUGUGGCUUUUUGUAUGUACCAUACGAAUAAGGAUCGGCUAACUCCGUGCCAGCAGCCGCGGUAAUACGGAGGAUCCGAGCGUUAUCCGGAUUUAUUGGGUUUAAAGGGAGCGUAGGCGGACUAUUAAGUCAGCUGUGAAAGUUUGCGGCUCAACCGUAAAAUUGCAGUUGAUACUGGUCGUCUUGAGUGCAGUAGAGGUAGGCGGAAUUCGUGGUGUAGCGGUGAAAUGCUUAGAUAUCACGAAGAACUCCGAUUGCGAAGGCAGCUUACUGGACUGUAACUGACGCUGAUGCUCGAAAGUGUGGGUAUCAAACAGGAUUAGAUACCCUGGUAGUCCACACAGUAAACGAUGAAUACUCGCUGUUUGCGAUAUACAGCAAGCGGCCAAGCGAAAGCAUUAAGUAUUCCACCUGGGGAGUA